GGCUCGGUAGCUUAGUUGGUAAAGCGCUCGUCUAGCAUACAAGAGUCCUGGGUUUAAAUCCCAGCCGAGCAC
rnacentral:tRNA from 1 species